rnacentral:rRNA from 1 species
UGGGGAAAAUUGCACAAUGGGCGCAAGCCUGAUGCAGCAACGCCGCGUGAACGAUGAAGGUCUUCGGAUCGUAAAGUUCUGUUGCAGGGGAAGAUAAUGACGGUACCCUGUGAGGAAGCCCCGGCUAACUACGUGCCAGCAGCCGCGGUAAUACGUAGGGGGCUAGCGUUAUCCGGAUUUACUGGGCGUAAAGGGUGCGUAGGUGGUCUUUCAAGUCGGUGGUUAAAGGCUACGGCUCAACCGUAGUUAGCCUCCGAAACUGGAAGACUUGAGUGCAGGAGAGGAAAGUGGAAUUCCCAGUGUAGCGGUGAAAUGCGUAGAUAUUGGGAGGAACACCAGUAGCGAAGGGGGCUUUCUGGACUGCAACUGACACUGAGGCACGAAAGCGUGGGUAGCAAACAGG